GUCUACGGCCACACCACCCUGAAUGCUCCCGAUAUCUUCUGAUCUCAGAAGCUAAGCAGGGUAGGGCCUGGUUAGUACUUGGAUGGGAGAAAUGUGGCUACUACAUAAU
rfam:Pongo abelii chromosome 8.